GCCAGGAACUCCUGUUUCCAUGGCUACCUGGAAGCAGAGCCUGAAGCUGUAAGUAUGGGAAGUAACAGGAAAUAGUACAAGAUUCGGAGUCAGGACGAUCUGGGUCCUCAUCCUAGCCUGGCCUCAAUGUGGGGGAACCCUGGGCCAAUGGUUUUCCUUUAAUGGAUCUCAGUUCCCCACCCGGACAGCAAGACACUGUGUGAUCGUUAACGUCCUUUCCAGUUCUAGUUUUCUGUGACUCUGAAUCCUGCAGGAGCUGUGAUGUCUUUGAGAUCCUCCUUACUUUUUUGCUGCUUCUCUGAUUUCUGUAUUAUAACAUCACAAGUUUACAAAUGGAUAAGCAAAAUGCUGUAAAUCUAUACCAUGGAAUGGUGUGCGGACUUAAAAAGGAAUGAAGUAUUGAUACAUGCAGCCACAUAGAUGGACCUUGAAACCACCAGGCCACGAGAAAGAAGCCAGCACCAAAGACCACUUAAGGUGGGGACAGAAGCUCAGUCAACACCAUGCUGAGGCACUGCCUACUGGUGUCCUAUCCUCAGGAGAACAGGAGACACUGGCAGGACUCCAGUGACCUGGAGGCAAGACCAGGGCCUGGCUGGGGUUGAAGAGAGGCAAACAGAGAAGACCAGAACAAGCCUGUGUGUAUCUCCAUCCAACUAGGUUCCUACCCCUGCAAGCUACAUUUGCCAAAAUGCAGUCUCCUGGUGCCAGGAGACUGAGUGGAAGAAGCAGAAACCAAGAAGCUCUCUCCCUUCCCUGGCAACACUUCUGGGGUCCCAACUUCUGCCAGGGAACUUCCCCCAGUGGCCUGGCUCUCAUUGAAUCCUGGAAACACCACCUCCUCUCUGGCCUUGCGGCCCAGGAAUGGUAGCAGCUGCUGUCUCCAGGCUGCCUUCCCCCAGGAUGCCCUUCCAUCUCUUCCAGAACUUUAGAACCAGUUUUUCUCUAUCAAGUUUUCUGGAAUGGGUUGUUUUCUGCCUGGAUUCCACCCAUGUCCCCCCAAGCCAGUGUGAGUGGAGCCUUAGCCCAGAAAAGGCCAAACUGACGGAGGAAAGCCAAGAACUUGAAGUCCAGAAUCAGCCAGACCUGCCUGGACCAGAAUCCAACAACUAGUAUGUAGCUGACCUUGGAUACAUAACUCUUAACUCCUGAGCUCAGUUUUCUCAUCUAUGAAAUGGACAUGAUAACUCCUUCUGCUCCUACUGGCAAAGCUGACGGGGAAAGGAGGACAAAGUAUUCUCCAGGUCCCUGAAAGGGGAACAGGGUCAGUGCACCCACCAGCCAUGUGCUCAUCACCCCUUCCCUCAGCCUCCCCAUCCUCAGUGCCUCCCGCUGGCCCAGGACUUCCUGACUGGGCUGCAUGCCUACUGCCAAGGUCCCCAUACACCCUCUGCAACCUGAAGAAGGCACCAAAGGCCCGAGCCAGCCGCUCAGCGCCCCCUCCACCAUCCACAGGCAGCCAGGAGCACAGCCUGGGCCUCGAUGGGUCCCUGGAGAGCAGACAGAGGGGCAAGAGGCUGCUUCAAAAGGCUUUGCUUUUGUUUCUAGGGACAUCUGGGGACAACCUGGGCUGGGAAACAGGUGAGAAAGGCAGGAAAGGAGGGAUGGGAAAGAAGAUAGCUGGGCAGAGAAAGAUGGAGGACUAAAGCCAGCAAAUACCCACCGCCUCUGCAGUAGGCGGGAAAGCAAGAGGGGGUGGCACCAACCCCCAGGUCCUCCCCAACAGAGCCCCAGCCUCCUCCUGCUCCCACUCCCAGCCCUACGUGGGGGGUGGGGGUCACCGUGGUCUCUAGCUGAGUCUCCAAAUGGAACGCCCAGCUGGGGCUUGCUUUCUCUCCUCCUCCUCUCCCCAGAGGGAAGAGCAGGAGAAGCAGCCCAGCCCCGGGAAGCCAGGCCCUGGGGCUUCCUUGCCCCCUGACCCCACAGGGAUGGAAGGAGCCUGUCUAACACACAGUGGGGUCUGGAGGGCGCAGGGCGGUUGGCCCCUGGAGGAGGCCUUGGCUCCAGGCCCAGCAGUGCUGGCAGCCGCUCUUCUUGGCUCCGACAGACUCCCUUGGAAACAAACCUCUGCUACUCACUUCUUUCCUCCAGUUGGCUGACAAGGAGUCAGAGUGUUGGCUCGAAUUCUUUCCCCCCACCCCUUCCUUUUAACCUCUCCCUCUCCAUUUUAUUUUUUCUGGAAAAAAAAAAAAAGUUUUGGUGAA